GCUGCGGGGCACAGGGGCAGGCAGCCCGUCAGCCCGCGGGCAGGGCAGAGCCCCCCGGUCCUGGCAGGCGCUCCCUUGGCCCCGCAGGGCCACUGCGUGUGCCCGGGAAGCCCGUGUGGUGCCCAGGCCCCGGGCCUGCCCGGCGGUCCCGGCCCUGUUGCUGGGCCACCCGCGCACGUCUGCCAACUUUCUUUGUGUAAAUGGAGAGACUUCCUGCUAUUCAAUUCCAGGAGGACACGCUCGCCUGGCCUGCUUCCUGCUUCCCGUGAGGGAGUGUGGGCUGCACACGGGGCGCCUCCAUCAGCCGGGCCAGGGCUGGCCUCACCGCCUGGAUGGCUACAGAAAGGGAUGGCUGGCGGAGGCUUCAGGGCUCUGGGUCCCCUGGGGCUUGGCUGCCCAUCUGGCUUCCCUAGCCAGGUGCACUAGGCCAGGCUGAUGAGGCUCCCAGGGAAGGCAGGGACACCCCCCUGCCCCCCAAACCCUGGCCGAGAUGCUGGAAGCAGGAAGCAGGGCCACGGGGACCUGUCUCUGCCUAAGCCACUGAGGGGGAGGAUCUGGGGGAGCACCGGGUAGGGGUGACUGUUCCCUCCCCCUUCUUGGCCUAGAACCCCCAGGAGAGAUCCUGUAAGAGCAGCUGCUCCCCACCGUCCUCUUCUCCCACUCAGAAGCCUCCUUCACGAACCACAGACCUCCUGCCUCCACACCCAGCCACGGCCCGGCUGCCCGGGUCCAAACCUCUCUGGGAGGCUGGGAAAACGCCCUCCCCGCCAGCCACAGAAGAGAACACUGAAGAAGAAAAGGCACUUUCAGAGCGUCUGGCUGGGUCACCGGUGCCAAAGGAGGUGGUGUGAGCACAGGCACCACCCCGCCGGAGGGAAGCCCGGGAAAGCUGAGCCUCCAGCUACAGAGCGAGGAGUAGCACACGGAACGAGCAGAAGGACACACACUGUCUGAAGUCUGCCCAGCCCCACGAGAAGGGGCCACACCCCCCCCAACCCCCAGGGACUCGGGAACAUUAGCUCCUGAGGACCUUGAACACACAGCCGGCGGUGGGACCUGGCUGCAGAAAGGACUCCUGGUAGGUGCGAUCGGCCCAGAAAGCCCCAGUCUGCCUGGCGGAAGGACAGCGGCCACGCCCCCGAGAGCCUGUCAGUGACGCUCCUGGGGCCCAGCACUCAGCCUCAUCACACAGGUCAAGCCAUUUUCAGGCAGGAGCAGGAGGUGAGAGCCCUGACUCCUGAGCUUGGGCAGGCCUCCUACUCUGGAAACAGGGGCUACGCUCUGAUGCCCCAGCUCAGGACUUGGGCUGAGAUGGCAGGGAGAAGGCACAGGGGAACUCCUCCUGGCCUCUGAGAACUGCCCCCACGACAACACACACAUACACCCGCAGAGGGGCCUGCCUGGGCCCCCGGAGCACUAGCUGCUAGAGCCCCCCAGAAUGCGGGUCGGCUAGGGGGAGCUGCUCCUUCGCGGGGGCAGUGCCCACCUCCCCAGGGCCCCUCCCAGUGUCAGGGUCUCCUGCUGUGGCCCCCAGUCAGCUGUAGCCACCCCAGCUUCGAGGCAGGCACCCCCCGCAGGAGGAGGGCCACACACCAGGCACCCAAGUGUUCUCUACCCUGGAGACCGGCGAGCAGCAGCCCCCUUGCCACACCAGAGGUUCGUCACCCACUACCCAGCUCGGCAGUCAGAACCGGACUCAGCAGGUCCCGAGGAGGUCAGCUGGUCUCGCUCCUGUGGGGCGGGAGGGGUGUGGCAGGCUGGGCCCACGCUGCGGUUCGAUGCUGAGCCUCCCGCCCUGUGGGAGCAGGCAAGAGACACACUCUGUGC